GAAGGCAGGUCUGGUGAAAUGAAGGGAGAAACAACAGAGGCUGGAGACAGGGGGCCGAGGCGAACUGGAGCUUACCGUGAUAGCUUAGGCUGGCAUUUUUGUCAGCCAUCAGGCUGAUGUGUUUCCUCUAUCAUUUUAGCUUUCUAGAUAGGUUGAAAGGAAUGGAUAUUUAGAAAGCAGUGCUCUCAGCAACGGCAGGUUUCUUUUCCAGAGUUCAGACAUCUUAAUUUUUUCUUGGGAUGGUCAGCCACUUGAAACACAACACCACCCAGACUUUUCGUGUUUUUUUCAUCAGCAGGGAAAAGUUUCAAAAGAAUCAGAAACUGAAGAGAAAACAUGAGAGAAAUUUAAGAAAAUGUUGCUGCAUGAGGCCCAAAGGCUCUGACCAACCCAUGAACUCUUUUUCUUUGUGUGUGUGUGUGGUUGUGUGGAAAGAGAUGACAUGAUAGCAGGGACUUUGAUGUUUCCUGUGUGUGUUGCAGACUCAGACACUCUGACCAAGAUCAUUUUUACCUCAUCCUCCUCUCUUUUCACAUCCGGUCUGUUAAACAUCUAAUACAUCAAAUGAAAUCAAAUCACAUCUAAUUGUCUCUUAUU